rnacentral:lncRNA from 10 species
UUUUCAGCAAACCUUCCAAGAGCAAAGGGGACACUUUCCCUUCACCCCUGCAGAAGACGUCUCCGAGGAAGUGAAACAUUGGUGGAUAUAUGAUAGAAAUCAUCAUGGUAAAGAAAGUAUUACAGUAAGACUGAAAACCAACCAUUUUGCCCAAGGGACAGACCCUCAGCUGUGACUCUGCACCUGAUCUCUGUGGCUUUGCUGAAAUGUAGCUUUAACCCUGGAGUACCCUAAAGGUGGCAGUUUUGAAAAUGUGGAUGGCACAGUCUCCUGCUGA